rnacentral:rRNA from 1 species
ACAGUCACAGUUCGGAUUGAAGGCUGAAAUUCGCCUUCAUGAAGCCGGAAUUGCUAGUAAUGGCAGGUCAGCAUACUGCCGUGAAUACGUUCCCGGGCCUUGUACACACCGCCCGUCACCACCAUGAGAGUUGGGAAUACCCGAAGCCUGUGAGCCAACACGUAACUGAGGCAGCAGUCGAAGGUAGAAUCAAUGAUUGGGGUGAAGUCGUAACAAGGUAAC